GUGGGGAAUCUUGCGCAAUGGGCGAAAGCCUGACGCAGCCAUGCCGCGUGAAUGAUGAAGGUCUUAGGAUUGUAAAAUUCUUUCACCGGGGACGAUAAUGACGGUACCCGGAGAAGAAGCCCCGGCUAACUUCGUGCCAGCAGCCGCGGUAAUACGAAGGGGGCUAGCGUUGCUCGGAAUUACUGGGCGUAAAGGGCGCGUAGGCGGACAGUUUAGUCAGAGGUGAAAGCCCAGGGCUCAACCUUGGAAUUGCCUUUGAUACUGGCUGUCUUGAGUACGGGAGAGGGGAGUGGAACUCCGAGUGUAGAGGUGAAAUUCGUAGAUAUUCGGAAGAACACCAGUGGCGAAGGCGACUCACUGGCCCGUUACUGACGCUGAGGCGCGAAAGCGUGGGGAGCAAACAGGAUUAGAAACCCGGGUAGUCC
rnacentral:rRNA from 1 species